UUCUACUUGAAAUUCUAGAUUGUGUGCUACUUGACAACUUCCAACAAUGUUAAGUUUUCAUCAUUACCACACCCGAGAUGACUGAAUUAGAUAUGCUUUCAGCAGUGUGAAGUGAAAUUGUUGUCACACCUGUGCUGUUUUCACUGACUUGAAAGCAAUAUUGCAUUAAAAGAGGUAAUAUGCUAGCGGCUUUGGUUACAACAAUAUCUCUACAUAUUCUUCUGUAUUCAUCGAUCAGCCUUAAUGGGAUAUGGGAGCAGGAGCACCUUUCAAUAUCCCAUCUCCCAGAAGUUUCCCUGGGCCUGUUAAGGGUACCUCCUUCGAGCUACUAAUCAGAAUGGACUUCAUCACUUGGUGAAAACUGACGAGAGAAUGCUGUAAUUCAAGACAAUAAAUUGUGUAGUUGUUAGAUAACUUACAAGUGCAUAUCUGGGCUCCCUUCUUUUCUGUGGCCCCGUUUCCCUAACUAACCACUAACC